rnacentral:rRNA from 1 species
UACGUAGGGCGCAAGCGUUGUCCGGAAUUAUUGGGCGUAAAGAGCUCGUAGGCGGUUUGUCGCGUCUGUCGUGAAAGCUUGGGGCUUAACCCCAAGUCUGCGGUGGAUACGGGCAGACUAGAGGCAGGUAGGGGAGAACGGAAUUCCCGGUGUAGCGGUGAAAUGCGCAGAUAUCGGGAGGAACACCGGUGGCGAAGGCGGUUCUCUGGGCCUGUACUGACGCUGAGGAGCGAAAGCGUGGGGAGUGAACAGG